UACGAAGGGUGCAAGCGUUAAUCGGAAUUACUGGGCGUAAAGCGCGCGUAGGUGGUUCAGUAAGUUGGAAGUGAAAUCCCCGGGCUCAACCUGGGAACUGCUUUCAAAACUGCUGAGCUAGAGUACGGUAGAGGGUGGUGGAAUUUCCUGUGUAGCGGUAAAAUGCGUAGAUAUAGGAAGGAACACCAGUGGCGAAGGCGACCACCUGGACUGAUACUGACACUGAGGUGCGAAAGCGUGGGGAGCAAACAGG
rnacentral:rRNA from 1 species